AUGGCACUGAGGCCUGUUACCCAAGCUGAGGAUUUUGCUAUGCAGUUACAGCUUGAGGAUGAAAGGCUAAGAAAGAAGAAGUAUGAAUUCCAUAAGAGAAAGGAAUUGGAACGGCGUCAAAAGGCUGCCUGUGUGCCAGAAAGUGAUGUUGAUGUUGCUGAAGCUCCUAAAUGUACAAACUUGAUGCCAACUCGGUUGACGCAAGUGUUUGGUCGUGAUGGAGUUAAGGAGAAGAAAGUUGUUUUGAAGAGGAAGAUGUCAGAUCGAAAUCCUGAUGGGACACAGAGGUGUAGCCCAGGUGUGAAAGCUGGUUCCCAACCUGGUAAUAGCAAAACUGAUGCGGAUAGUGUUGCUGUGAAAAUUGGUCCAAGCAAACUUGGUGGCUCCUCUGUUCGUCGGAGUCCACGAGGUUUGACAAAUAAGGAGCCUUCUUCGUCUCCUCUUCAAGAGUGGUCUUUGUUGAAAGAAAAUAAGAAGCGUAAAGUUCAUCCUGCAAAGGUGAACAAAGGUGUGAAGAAGCGUGCUCGUGUCGAAGCUGAAGAUGCUGCAUCUGAAGAAGAUGAUGUUGAAGUUGAUUCAGAAGAUGAAUUUGCAGUGCUGGUAUUCGUUAUGAGUCCGGUCAAGCCGGUGGGAGGCAAUGCCGGAAAAGUUGCCUUGGAUGAAGAUACAAUGACUCUUGACAUGGGUGAGGCUAAUAAGAAGCUUCGCAUCACUAGCGACGGUAUACAACAAUUAUUUGGUUUCCCUCAUGGUGGUCGUUCUGCGCCAAGGCCGUCAGAGGACGGAUAUGACGACGCUCUGAUGAAGUUAAGAUCGGAGCUUGACAUUAGCAGGGACAAAGAUAUCAAGACAAAGGAUUUGAGGAAUAAGCUCAAGGUGCUCGUCAAGGAUCCUAGCAAAGAUGACCUUGCUCUGAAAGUGUUCUUCAUGAUUGUGUUUAUGAAGGUUGUGUUGCCUGGUUCUGCCCCGCGUGUUUGCAGAGAGGCAGCAAUGUUUGAGGGUCUCGUCUUUGAGGACAUGGCUAAUAUGUAUUAUUGCCAGCUGAUGGUUGAUGAGCUUAGAAGGGCUGUUGCCAAGUACCAAAAUGGUGAUACCAUGGGGAAGGCAAUCACAGGCUAUGCCAUAGGGCCUGUACUAAUGUACCUUGACUGCCUUAUCCGUGGCAAGACUGCGGAGCCUGACAUGCGAGUCCCCCGCAUAUGUUACAUGGAUCCUGCCAAGCUUUCUGAUCUGGUUGAUGCAGAUUUGAUAAAAAAUGGCAAUGCAAAUCCAAAGACUUGGGUGUUUGGGAAGCUUCCAGUAUGGUUUUUUAGUACUGUUGUUUAG
rnacentral:rRNA from 1 species